rnacentral:lncRNA from 1 species
UGUGUUUUUUGCUGAUACUUGAUAAAUUUUGUGAAAUUUUAUAGUGGUUUUGUGUUAUUUGUUUAAUUGAUAUUAAUUUAAAAGUAUACUUUAGAUUAAUUACAAAAGUUAUGUUUUAUUUGUAUAAUAAAAGUGUUAACAGUGUUUUUAAUGAAAAUAAUAUACUUUUUGUAAAUCAAAAUAAAGUGCUAACGAAAUCCCCUUAGUGUUUGUGUUGUGGGAAAAGCCUAAUUAUGAUUCCUAACUCAAGGAGUUGAAAAUAGCAAGAAUUGUUUAAAAAAUUUAUGAAAGCAGUCAUGAGGAAACGACUUCGUAUUCAUUAUUACAACCCAUGAAAUUGGAACAGAAAAAAACAAAUUAUGAUAAUCUUAAUGUAAGUUUUACUCGCAGUGUUCGUGGUAAUAAUUUACUAACAAUAAAUGGUAAAAAUUAUACCCUUAAUCGACGCAUAAAAGAUGCCUGCUAUUGGGAAUGUGUAAAAGUACGUUGCAAAUAUACAAAAUGUUCCGCCAGAGUUAUAACAAAAUAUAAUCGUAUAGCCUCCUUAAGAGGUCAACAUAAUCACAAUUAAAUUUAAAAGAAAAAUAAAUUUAAGUAAUUUUUUUUUUUUAAGCUAAAAUGCAAUAAAGUACAAUUAUGUUUAAUUUAACUAAGGACCACACAUCGUAUACAUAGGUUUAAUGUAAAACAAAUAUAUAAAGAUUUCAAGCCUCUUACUGGAGUGUGGCUAAAUGAGAAGUACACUUUUGUUAGAAAUAGACGAGGCGGUAUGAAUUUAAUUUAUGAAGGUUUUCUUUAUACUGCUGAACAUGUCCAGCCAGAUGUGUAACAGCUGGAGAAAAUGCCAUUAAGUUUGGACAUAAAAAACACAAUCAUGCCGCAGUUUGGGCUAAUAAAGAUAAAUAAUUUAAUUAAACAUCUGCUAAAUGUAGACGUCCCAAAAAU